GUCAACUGCCAUAUCAUGCUGAAAGCACUGGUUCUCGUCUGAUCACCAAAGUUAAGCAGCAUUGAGCGUGGUUAGUACUUGGAUGGGUGACCGCUUGGGAACACCACGUGCUGUUGACA